ACCUGGCUGUUGAGAGGUUAUGCCUCCUGAUGUCAAUUUCUAGAAUUGCUUUGAAAGAAACAGCGGUGAACCUAAAAGCUCUUGUCGCGACUGACUGAGCCAAUGUGUGCUCACGUUGUCAUGAGUUUCGUGCGUAUAGGCAGUUUACUUAAUUCUGAUACAUAAAUGUCACCUCUGUUGAGUGGACAAGAAAUUUUUUUAGCUCAAGAAGAAGAAGUCAGUGAUGCAGAACCUGAGCGAGUAAUGACUCAGUGGGAACAGGAUGAAGAAAGUUCAUAGUCAGAUGAAUCUCAUAAUAAAGCACCAUACAAGACGGAUUUCCAAGAUUUGGUUGGUGAAGACGAGACAAUUCACUGGCCAGACAAGCAUGAAAGAAACAAAUUGGAAUUGCUGUGAAUCCAACAUACCUCUCUGCAUGCCAGGAUGCUUCAGACUUUUCCAUUCAAAAGCCAGUUACAUGUGAAACUGUUCAAGAACUCACCUCGCACUUAGUUUUGGGAGGAUAAUUACAAUUUUUGUCCUCAUUAUUCUAGAGCUUGUAAUCUAUCAAAGAACUAAAAUAAAUAUGAAAAGUAAACCUUGAA